GGGCGUUUUGGGUAUUUGACUUUUAAUCAAGUUGUCCGGGGUUCGAAUCCCCGCACGCUCA
rnacentral:tRNA from 1 species